rnacentral:lncRNA from 1 species
UGACCCAAAGUUACGGGUAAAAUGACCCCCGUUUUCCCAGAGUGACAUGGCCCAGCACUGGUGUGACUAUCACACGUGUCGUCACCGCAUCCAGCUCCACCCAAAGCACUUCCAACAGCCGGUGGCAUGCACUCAAGCCCUGGACGUCUGUCAUGCUGGCAGGCAGGGGCGGGUUCUGUUGGUCAGACCAGACAAUCCCGUCUGGCACUGCCACUGCAGAUGCGCACCCAUGUGGCCGAUCCUCUUGCAUGUAGGGUUGGCAGGGGUACUAUACUAGAAAAGAGUAC